CUCCCGUGUGUGGCCGGCGGCCUGGAGUGGAUCUGCAAGCGACCGAGGCUCCUUCAGGGUGUGUUUGAUUUCCACAGCCUGCUUGCCUGUGAUCAGAGGGUCCCUGCCUAAAUCUGAUGUGAAGAGGAGAAACAGGCUCAGCUGUCCCGCGAUCCACCAAGACUGCUUCAUGAUCAACGCAUUGAGCACCCUUGGUGUAGAAGGGAGAGCCUCGAUGCCCCGUGGAGGAAACUCAUAUCAGCAAUUCAUCACAACCUACAGCUCGUGACCAUAGAUGAGGGAGGUGGAAAAACUCGUCGACAGCAGCCAGCAUCUCCACCUUGGUAAGAUCCAGCAAGGACACCACCCGGAAUUCCAGCUGCUGCAGGAGGUUGGCCAGCUCAUG